rnacentral:rRNA from 1 species
GUAGGUGGCAAGCGUUGUCCGGAAUUAUUGGGGCGUGAAGCGCGCGCAGGUGGUUCUUUAAGUCUGAUGUGAAAGCCCCCGGGCUCAACCGGGGAGGGUCAUUGGAAACUGGGGAACUUGAGUGCAGGAGAGGAAAGUGGAACUCCACGUGUAGCGGUGAAAUGCGUAGAUAUGUGGAGGAACACCAGUGGCGAAGGCGACUUUCUGGCCUGUAACUGACACUGAGGCGCGAAAGCGUGGGGAGCAAACAGGAUUAGAUACCCUGGUAGUCCACGCCGUAAACGAUGAGUGCUAAGUGUUGGGGGGUUUCCGCCCCUCAGUGCUGCAGCUAACGCAUUAAGCACUCCGCCUGGGGAGUACGGUCGCAAAGACUG